UCCGGUGUGCAGAGCACACGGGUGUGCGUGUGACUGGGGAGCCGUGCGCGAGUCACACGGGUCCGUGGGCGAGGCGUGACGGGCCACACGCGUGGUGCAGGGUGGGGCCGGGGGCGAGUCACGCAGCUCUGGAAGCCGCGAAGGGCCGUGUGCAAGGCGUGAGGGCCCGUGUGCGAGGAGUGAGGGCCCGUGUGCGAGGCGUGAAGGUCCGUGUGCGAGGAGUGAGGGCCCGUGUGCGAGGCGUGAAGGUCCGUGUGCGAGGAGUGAGGGCCCGUGUGCGAGGCGUGAGGGUCCGUGUGUGUUGUGAGGGUCCGGGUGCGAGGCACAAAGGUCCGUGGGGCGCACGGGGUCCGUGUCGGAAGCGUGCAGGUCCAUGUGUGAGGGUCCAUGUGCGAUCCGUGGGUCACAGGUCCAUGUGUGAGGCGUGAGGGCCCAUGUACGCGGGUCCGUGAGUGAGACACGGAGGCCCGUGGGUCGCAGGGGUCCGUGUGCGAGGCGUGCAGGUCCGUGUGCAAGCUGUGGGUCACAGGCAUCCAUGUGUGAGGCAUGUGCAAAGCAUGAAAGUCCACAUGCAAGGCAUGAAGGUCCGUGGGGGGGGGUCUCACAGAUCCGUGUGUGAGGGUCCGCGUGCGAGGCAUGUGAGUCCACGUACGAGGGUCCACGUGCAAUCUGUGGGUCACAGGUCCGUGUGUGAGGCGUGUGAGUCCACAUACGAGAGUCCAUGUGCGAUCCGUGGGUCACGGAUUCGUAUGCGAGGGUCCAUGUGCGAUCUGUGGGUCACAGGUCCAUGUGUGAGGCAUGAAUGCCUGUGUAUGAUGGUCCGUGUGCGAUCCGUGGGUCAUAGAUCCGUGUGCGAGGGUCCGUGUGUGAUCCGUGGGUCAUGGAUCCGUGUGCGAAGGUCUGUGUGUGAUCCGUGGGUCACGGGUCUGCAUGCGAGGCGUGACGGCACGUGGGUCGCACGAAUCCGUGCACGAGGCUUCGGCGAGGCGCGCGUCCAGGUUGGCCCUACGGACACGGAAACCCGCGGCCGCACAAACACCCCUUUUUGCGGCUUUUCGCAGUAUUUAACCCUUCCCCUGCCGCCCGGCUCCGGGGCCCUGCUGCGGCGCAGCGAAUCGGGGCGGCUUUUGAGCAGGGUUUUGCCGCAUUCGCGCACCCGCCCCCAGCACCGCCGCAGCACCGCGCUGCAGAAACCCCAGUUCCUGCGGGGCGUUUUUAAGGAGGAAAAGCAACGUUGCCUGGAGUUCUGUAUUAAAUAACGUGUUUUCAGUCGGUAUCCAGCAACCAAACAUGGCUAAAUCAGCCUGGAAGAGAUGUUGGACACAAAGGCUCAAUGAGGGCGAAAAUUUCCACCCGGAGCAAGAUGGAAACAGCCUCGUUCAAGCUGAUUUUGAGGAGAUUUUAAAAGCAUCCCAGGAAAAACUGAGCGUUUCCAUCCAAUCCCUUCCCCACCACCACCUUUGAGACAGGAAAGCAAAAAAAAAAAAAAGCUUUUGCUGAAAAUUUCCAUCACGCAGCAGGCGGUUGAAUGUUUCCUGCCGCCGCUGCCCCCUUCCAGAUUGACCAUUCAGAUGCAAAACGCCCCAAAAGAGCGCUGAACGGGCCGAAUUGCUGGAAAAAGGCAGCUUGUGGGGUGCUGGUGCAGCCAGCGAUUGCAACCCCUCGCUGCCUCCUCCCCGAUAAAAUAAAUUUAAAGCCUGCUCGUUUGAGGGAAGGGUU
rnacentral:lncRNA from 1 species